AACGGCCGUACCAUGCUGAAUAUACCGGUUCUCGUUAGAUCACCGAAGUUAAGCAUCAUUGGGCGCGGUCAGUACUUGGGUGGGUGACCAUCUGGGAACACCGCGUGCCGUU